ACAGUGGUUAGAUGCUGGUAGGGUGAUACGUAUCUAUCAACUGUUCAUUCGAAUAGACAACAGCUUAUGAGAUGAUAUGUAUUCAGAGUGCUGCAGCUGGAUUCCUCCUUUGGAUCUGGAUUCGUGAC